UGUGUGUGUAGUGGAAUGGCAGUGUACUGUUAGCUGGAUGGAUAUCCAGAUGGCACCAGCUGACAUUCAGCUGCCAGCCUACGGCACAUAUUUUGG
ensembl:miRNA microRNA 449a